CCCCUCUCAGGGUUGUACCUGGAGAGUUUCCGGUACUCUACCAGUCUCGGCUGCAGGAGGGAGAGUUAAGCAGAGGCCUACGCUUUCCAUUUCUAGCUUGGGCAGUGGCUAGCGAGUGGAAGGCAAUUUGUUACAAGU